rnacentral:pre_miRNA from 1 species
UGGGGGAGCACCAGAUCUUGGGCUGUGUCCCCGGCGCCCUGGGCUCCCAGGCCUGUGCUGCUGGAAUCCCGCUCCCGGCCGCGCAGCCCCCU